rnacentral:rRNA from 1 species
GAUUAGAUACCCUACUAUGCCUAGCUGUAAACACUGACAUACUCUUUGUCCGCCAGAGAAUAACGAGCCAAAGCUUAAAACCCAAAGGACUUGGCGGCGCUCCACACACCCUAGGGGGGCCUGUCACAUAAUCGAUAACCCACGAUAGACCUCACCACUUUUAGCCCACUAGCCUAUAUACCGCCGUCGCCAGCCCAUUCCAAUAGGAAAAAAAAAUGGACCCAAUAGUCUCUUCACUAGCACGACAGGUCAAGGUGUAGCUUAUAAAGCGGCAAAUGAUGGACCACAUUGCUUUUCCAGCCAUACUUGAACUGCCCUGAAACACGCACUUUAAAGGUGAACUUAACAGUAAGGUGGGCAAGAAAGCCCCCCUAAAGAAUGCUCUGGAGCGUGCACACACCGCCCGUCACCCU